rnacentral:rRNA from 1 species
UACGGAAGGCAGCAGUGGGGAAUAUUGCACAAUGGGCGAAAGCCUGAUGCAGCUAUGCCGCGUGUAUGAAGAAGGCCUUAGGGUUGUAAAGUACUUUCAUCGGGGAGGAAAACAAAACUAAUAAUUUUAUUUCUUGACGUUACCCGAAAAAGAAGCACCGGCUAACUCCGUGCCAGCAGCCGCGGUAAUACGGAGGGUGCUAGCGUUAAUCAGAAUUACUGGGCGUAAAGAGCACGUAGGUGGUUUUUUUAAGUCAGAUGUGAAUCCCUGGGCUUAACCUAGGAACUGCAUUUUGAAACUGAAAUACUAGAGUAUCGUAGAGGGAGGUAGAAUUCUAGGUGUAGCGGUGAAAUGCGUAGAUAUCUGGAGGAAUACCUGUGGCGAAAGCGGCCUCCUAAACGAAUACUGACACUGAGGUGCGAAAGCGUGGGGAGCAAACAGGGAUUAGAUACC